AAGUGGAAUGGAACAGAGGAUACAGAAACAUCCACAGACACAUGCAGCUAUUUGGUCUUUGACAAAAGGGCCAAAAAUGUGUGUUGAGGGAAUAAUAUCCUAUUCAACAAACGGUGCUGGGAAAACUGGUUUUCUGUGUGCAGAAAACUGAAACUGGAUCCAUUUGUAUCACUGUUGCUUUGUAAUGUAGCUUGAAGUCAGCUACUGCAAUACCUAUUAUUGUUCCUGAUUGCAUUUGCUAUUCUGGGUCUCUUCUGGUUCCGUCUGAAUCUUGGGAUUGUUUCCUCUAUAUCUGUGAGGUAUGACACUGGUAUUUUGAUUGGGACUCCACUGAAUAUGUGUAACAGUUUGGGGAGUGUAGCUGUUUUGAUAACACUGUAUUUGGCUCUGCCUAUCCAAGAGCAGGGGACAUUUUGCGUUUUCUGAUGUCACCUGCAGUCUCCUUUUCACAGUACUGUAGUUCUCUUUGUAGAAAUGUUUCACUUCCUUGGUUAGGCUAAUUCCUAGGUAUAUUCAAAUAGAGGCUGUUGUUGUUUAAUGAUAUAUUCUUUAGAUAUUGGUUAAAUCAAUUUGUUCUAUGCUGUGGUUUAACACUGACCUUUGUUAAUUUUUAAAAUUCUGGUUUAUCUAUCCUAAGUGUGAGGGGGUUAUUGAAGUUCCCUGCUACGAUCAUAUUUGUGGCCAUCUUUUUGUGUCCAGUAGCUUUUGUUUUAUGGCAUGGGUGUGCCAACAUUUGGUACAUAAGUAUUUACAAUUGUUACCUCUUCCUGUUGAAUUGUUACUUUUACCAGUAUGUUAGUGUGCAUCUUGUUCUUUUCAGAAAAGUUUUGGCUUGAAAUCUGCUGUGUCUAAAAAUAAUAUAACCACUCCUGCUUGCUUGCAAGCUCUGUUUGCACGGAAUAUUAUUGUCCAUCUUUUCACCUUCAGUCUAUGAGAUUCCUUUUGGACAAGGUGUGUCUCCUAGGUCCAGUGUUGUUGUUCUGUGACCUUUGGUUUGCUGUGAGUCCUACUCAUCUCCUAGCAACUCCAAGGCCUAGUUGAGAAGUCCAAGGCACCUCCUGACAUUCAGUUUCACGCCCCGAGAAAACAGAGACACAGAGAAGAGUUGAACUGCGAGCACCUGUCCUGCCCGCCAGCACUCGGAACUCUGAUUCUCCCAGCGGAGCCCCGUCAGGCCUGCAGCCAUGAGUUUGAGAAUGCCUUUGACUUCCUCCUAUUGAUGAUCGGCUCACUCUUCAAUAACUACACGAAACCACCA